CACGUAGGGUGCGAGCGUUGUCCGGAAUUAUUGGGCGUAAAGAGCUCGUAGGCGGCUUGUCGCGUCGUCCGUGAAAACCCACAGCUCAACUGUGGGCUUGCGGUCGAUACGGGCAGGCUAGAGUUCGGUAGGGGAGACUGGAAUUCCUGGUGUAGCGGUGAAAUGCGCAGAUAUCAGGAGGAACACCGGUGGCGAAGGCGGGUCUCUGGGCCGAUACUGACGCUGAGGAGCGAAAGCGUGGGGAGCGAACAGG
rnacentral:rRNA from 1 species